UGUCUGAAUAUGGGGGGACCAUCCUCCAAGGCUAAAUACUACUGACUGACCGAUAGUGAACCAGUACCGUGAGGGAAAGGCGAAAAGAACCCCUGUGAGGGGAGUGAAAUAGAACCUGAAACCGUGUACGUACAAGCAGUAGGAGCAGGCUUUGUCCUGUGACUGCGUACCUUUUGUAUAAUGGGUCAGCGACUUAUAUUCAGUGGCAAGGUUAACCAUCUAGGGGAGCCGUAGGGAAACCGAGUCUUAACUGGGCGUUCAGUCUCUGGAUAUAGAC
rnacentral:rRNA from 1 species